rnacentral:rRNA from 1 species
UGCCAGCCGCCGCGGUAAUACGGAAGGUGCAAGCGUUAAUCGGAAUUACUGGGCGUAAAGCGCGCGUAGGCGGUUUGUUAAGUCGGAUGUGAAAUCCCCGGGCUCAACCUGGGAACUGCACCCGAUACUGAUCGACUUGAGUGCGAGAGAGGGAGGUAGAAUUCCAUGUGUAGCGGUGAAACGCGUAGAUAUAUGGAGGAAUACCGGUGGCGAAGGCGGCCUCCUGGCUCAACACUGACGCUGAGGUGCGAAAGCGUGGGUAGCAAACAGGAUUAGAUACCCUGGUAGUCCACGCCGUAAACGAUGUCUACUAGCCGUUGGGGAACUUGAUUCUUUAGUGGCGCAGCUAACGCAAUAAGUAGACCGCCUGGGGAGUACGGCCGCAAGGUUAAAACUCAAAUGAAUUGACGGGGGCCCGCACGAGCGGUGGAGCAUGUGGUUUAAUUCGAUGCAACGCGAAGAACCUUACCAGGUCUUGACAUCCUGAGAACUUAGCAGAGAUGCUUUGGUGCCUUCGGAACUCAGAGACAGGUGCUGCAUGGCUGUCGUCAGCUCGUGUCGUGAGAUGUUGGGUUAAGUCCGUAACGAGCGCAACCUUGUCCUUAGUUGCCAGCAUUUCGGAUGGGGACUCUAAGAGACUGCCGCGCAAGCCGCGAGGAAGUGGGAUGACGUCAAAU